CAUGCAAGUCGAACGAAACUUAGUGAACCUCGGUUUGCUAAGUUUAGUGGCGCACGGGUGCGUAACGCGUGGGAAUCUACCCCUAGCUGCGGAAUAACUCAGAGAAAUUUGAGCUAAUACCGCAUAAUGUCGCAAGACCAAGAUUUAUCGGCAAGGGAUGAGCCCGCGUAAGAUUAGCUUGUUGGUGAGGUAAAAGCUCACCAAGGCGACGAUCUUUAGCUGGUCUGAGAGGAUGAUCAGCCACACUGGGACUGAGACACGGCCCAGACUCCUACGGGAGGCAGCAGUGGGGAAUAUUGGACAAUGGGCGCAAGCCUGAUCCAGCAAUGCCGCGUGAGUGAUGAAGGCCCUAGGGUUGUAAAGCUCUUUUACUAGGGAUGAUAAUGACAGUACCUAGAGAAUAAGCUCCGGCUAACUCCGUGCCAGCAGCCGCGGUAAUACGGAGGGAGCUAGCGUUGUUCGGAAUUACUGGGCGUAAAGCGCGCGUAGGCGGCUCGUCAAGUCAGGGGUGAAAGCCCGGGGCUCAACCCCGGAACUGCCUUUGAAACUAGCGAGCUAGAAUCUUGUAGAGGUUAGCGGAAUUCCGAGUGUAGAGGUGAA
rnacentral:rRNA from 1 species